GACAGAGGGUGCAAACGUUUGUUCGGAAUUACUGGGCGUAAAGCGCGUGUAGGCGGCUAUGUAAGUCGGGCGUGAAAUCCCACGGCUCAACCGUGGAAGUGCACCCGAAACUGCGUAGCUAGAGUCCUGGAGAGGAAGGUGGAAUGCUUGGUGUAGAGGUGAAAUUCGUAGAUAUCAAGCGGAACACCGGUGGCGAAGGCGGCCUUCUGGACAGUGACUGACGCUGAGA
rnacentral:rRNA from 1 species